rnacentral:lncRNA from 1 species
AUCAAACAACAUCAACUUAAUUGACUUGGAUCAUUCUCCUUAAGCGUUGUGCUUUUCAUCCUGAAAAAUCAAGCAAAUGUGAGACACAAGACCACUAGGCCAAGCCUAGGGUCCAAAAGAGAGAAAAAAUUCUAAACAGCAAGCAAUCUUCAACCAAAAUCAAGCUAAAGCAAUUCAAAAGCAAGAGCAAUUGAUCCCAUACUC